rnacentral:tRNA from 1 species
GACCGCGUAGCUCAGUUGGUAGAGCAUUGGGCUAGUAUUCCAAAGGUCGUAGUUUCGAAUCCCGCCGUGGCCA